GCCCCCGUGGCGGAAUUGGUAGACGCGCCUGACUCAAAAUCAGGUUCCCCAGGGAGUGUUGGUUCGAGUCCGACCGGGGGCACCA
rnacentral:tRNA from 2 species